GUUUCUAAUGCCUGUACUAGACAAUCUGUGGAUUAAAACAUGUAAAACUGCAGGGGGCAAGGGGUAGGCAGGGCACGCUGGAAAGACAACAGGAACAACAACAUAAAUUAAGAGGGGCUGAGGGAUAAUACUGGUAAGAGAGGAUGGGAUCCACCAGUAGUCAGGAGUAUCCCUACCUUUGCAUCUGAGUUUCAGUGAUGGACAUACCAAACACACAUUGACCUGCUAAGACCUAACUAACAUGGGGUUAAGGAAAAGAUGUACAAGAUCACGGACAAAAUGUCAGAACUUGGAAGGCUGGGUCUAUAGAAGCACGUGGCAGAGUUAUCAGCAUCUAGAAUAAAUGUACGUGCGCUGCCCUAGCACAAACACAUCCCCAGGUACCCUGUCCUGCACGACUGGAAU